rnacentral:sRNA from 1 species
GCCCCACUGCGUCGAGGGCCGUCAUCGCUAUUGCGGCGUUCUCCUUCGGCUCCGGAGGCAGGGGCAGCUCUUCUCUUCCUGUCUGGGAAAAAGACCAUAGCUCAAAAGGAAGGCCGAGGGAGAACUUAGAAAGGGAUGAUGAACGGAGCGUUUUGAGGGAACUGGGACGCCCCCGCAAUACCCGCCCCUGAGCUGCGCGCACUACCGCCUCGGUAGCUGUCAUGGCCGCCGGGCCACGUGACUCCGGCUUGGCGCCGUCCUGGUUUUCCGUCACUCUGGUUCUGUAGUGUGGAUUCUCCGACUCCCUCUUUUUCUCGCUUGUGGACUCCGAAAUAUUGCCCUUCUUCCCUUAGAAGAACUGCUGAACCGACUCUGAGAAAUUUGGAACUCCCGAAAACUGAAGAUCGCCGGGUCGCAGAAGGGGAGAAGAUGGGGCAGGGGCAGAAACCCUCUUCUUUCCUGAAGUAAAGAUACGCAAAACUUCAGACAUUUUCAUCCAGGAAGUAGGAGGCCGCAUUAAAAGAAGUAUUUGUGGAAGAUUUCGCAGCAUCAAGUGCUGAGUGUGAUACUAGCUCUAAGUUUAUUUGUAGGCACAUAGAUGCUGUAUUAGGCUAUCGGAAUUUAUAUGGAAGAUGUGUAGAAGAUGAUAUUUUCUGAAAUAACUCGUUAAAUGUUUUGAGUCCUAAAUAAACCUGCUCAGUUUUUCGUUGGGUACGCAUUGCAUUCUCUAUUCAUGAAGUAUGUGGUGCUCCUCAAAACCGGCUUUGUCAUGAAUAAAUAGCAUAAAGGAAGCA